rnacentral:tRNA from 1 species
GCCCCUUUAGCUCAGUGGUAGAGCGCCUCACUCGUAAUGAGGAAGUCAGCAGUUCAAGUCUGCUAAGGGGCU